UCUUUGGCGAAGCUGUGCUUGCACAGACGAGCCAAGGCGGACGGGUGAGUAACGCGUAAGGAACUUGCCCCGCAGACAGGGAUAACAGACGGAAACGACUGAUAAGACCUGGUGUUGUCAGGCUGACGCAUGUCAGGCUGAUGAAAGGAGACGCUGCGGGAAAGCCUUGCGUCCUAUUAGCUUGUUGGUGGGGUAACGGCCCACCAAGGCGAUGAUAGGUAGCCGGCCUGAGAGGGUGAACGGCCACAAGGGGACUGAGAUACGGCCCUUACUCCUACGGGAGGCAGCAGUGGGGAAUAUUGGACAAUGGGGGCAACCCUGAUCCAGCAAUUCUGUGUGCACGAAGAAGGUUUUCGGAUUGUAAAGUGCUUUCAGCAGGGAAGAAGCAAGUGACGGUACCUGCAGAAGAAGCGACGGCUAAAUACGUGCCAGCAGCCGCGGUAAUACGUAUGUCGCAAGCGUUAUCCGGAAUUAUUGGGCAUAAAGGGCAUCUAGGCGGCCCUGUAAGUCUAGGGUGAAAACCUGCGGCUCAACCGCAGGCCUGCCCCGGAAACUACAGGACUGGAGUAUUGGAGAGGUGGACGGAACUGCACGAGUAGAGGUGAAAUUCGUAGAUAUGUGCAGGAAUGCCGAUGAUGAAGAUAGUUCACUGGACGAUAACUGACGCUGAAGUGCGAAAGCUGGGGGAGCGAACAGG
rnacentral:rRNA from 1 species